rnacentral:rRNA from 1 species
UGGGAGGCUUUGAAGCGUGGACGCCAGUCUGCGUGGAGCCGACCUUGAAAUACCACCCUUUAAUGUUUGAUGUUCUAACGUGGACCCGUGAUCCGGGUUGCGGACAGUGUCUGGUGGGUAGUUUGACUGGGGCGGUCUCCUCCUAAAGAGUAACGGAGGAGCACGAAGGUUGGCUAAUCCUGGUCGGACAUCAGGAGGUUAGUGCAAUGGCAUAAGCCAGCUUGACUGCGAGCGUGACGGCGCGAGCAGGUGCGAAAGCAGGUCAUAGUGAUCCGGUGGUUCUGAAUGGAAGGGCCAUCGCUCAACGGAUAAAAGGUACUCCGGGGAUAACAGGCUGAUACCGCCCAAGAGUUCAUAUCGACGGCGGUGUUUGGCACCUCGAUGUCGGCUCAUCACAUCCUGGGGCUGAAGUAGGUCCCAAGGGUAUGGCUGUUCGCCAUUUAAAGUGGUACGCGAGCUGGGUUUAGAACGUCGUGAGACAGUUCGGUCCCUAUCUGCCGUGGGCGCUGGAGAACUGAGGGGGGCUGCUCCUAGUACGAGAGGACCGGAGUGGACGCAUCACUGGUGUUCGGGUUGUCAUGCCAAUGGCACUGCCCGGUAGCUAAAUGCGGAAGAGAUAAGUGCUGAAAGCAUCUAAGCACGAAACUUGCCCCGAG